AAUUUCUUCCUUGAAUCUUCAAAUUUGGAGGUAAUCAUGAAUUUAAGCACAAGAAAAUUCUCAUGUAGAGAUGGAUCAUUAAAAAGUUUGGCUGAAGAUCUGGCCCGUAGCCAACAGUGCAUGGAUAAGAGGACUGAAGAGCUCUCUACAAUUCACAUCACUCACUCCAGUCAUGCAUCUAGACAGUUCACACACAACCAAGAUCUGCAAUGUGCAAAACAUCGUACCAGGAUGCAGGGGCAACAGGAGGAGAGUCACUGAGUUUUUGUUCACCUGUCAAUCCAAUCCUACUGGUUUCCUGCUUCUCAUUUUCCCCCUGGGUUUUCCACCUCUCCGGAGCCCUUCUUCUCACCCUGCGACACUGACCACACGGAGCAACCCUGCUCAGCCGUCUGCAGGAAACUUGAAGUGACACAGCAAAACUCUGGCAGGAAGCAAGGAACUUACAUGCACUGACGAGAACUUUCCUCAGCUUUCUCCUCUCCAGGCUGUGCAGCUCCUGGUCUCUCAGCUACUCCCUCACGUGUAAAUCCUCCAAUCUCACUGAAAAGGGAAGAUUCACCUCCCUUGAUAUGCUGGCAGUUUUUUUCCUAAAGCAUUCCCAGAGGCUUUUGGCCUUUGCUGCAAGGACACACUGAUACCAUGUGUUUGAUUUAUUGUCUAGCAGGACCAACAGGUCCUUUUCUGCAAAGCUGCUUUCCAGCCAAUCAACUCACAGUCUGUACUAGUGCAUGGGGAAGGUAUAGAACAUUGAAUUUGCCUUUGUUGAACUUCAUGAGAUUUCUCUUUGCCCAUUUCUCCAGAUUAUCGAGUUCCCUCUGAAUGUUAGUACAGCUGUCAAGUCCAACAACAAAUCUUCCAAUUUUUCUAUCAUCUGCAAAUUUGUCUAGGCUUCUCACUAUCCCACUAUUUGGACAAUUAAUGAAGAGGUUAAACAGUAUUGGCAUCGGUAUUGUUGGUAGUACACUACUGGCUUCAAGGUAGACUUUGUGCUGCAGACCGUGGGACUUGGAGACUGGCAUUUAAGCCACAUUUCAAACCACCUUAUUCCCAAGGGCAUUGUUCAUACACUGGCAGGCAUGGGGCAUGAACUACCUCUCUAAGAAGACUGUUCCUGUGUUUGAACUGCACAGAGUAUUCAAGGUGAAGCCACACCAAUGCUAAAUAUAGUAGAAGAAUCACCUCUUUUGGUUGUGUGGCUAUGCUGUGUUUAUCACAAUCCAAAAUUCAACUGGCCCUUUGGCUGCCAGGGCACGCUACUGGCUCUUGUUGGGUUGCUGUCAGCCAGUAGCCUCAGGUCCUUUUCUGCUGAGCUGUUCUCCAGCCAUUCAACUCCCAGUCUGUACUUGUGUUCAGUAUUGGAGACCUCCUGGAUUACUUGCCCUCUGCUGUGGUGCCCUCCCAGCACCACAGUUAGGAGCAAUUCUGUCAGAGAGGAAAAGGAAUGAAUGGGAUGCUUUGAGCACUACAAGAUUUUGCAGUUCUACAAAUAUGUAUCAACCAUUAUUUCCAGAGUGACACUGCUUGCCUUGAGAAAUAAUAAAUUAUGAGAUGAGCAGGACAGCACUUUUAAGAAGGACCUUCCCAAGGGAGUGCCGUCUUUGCUAAGCACUCUGAACUGCUUGCUGUAAAUUACACACCUGGAGUACUGUUCCACUCUGAUAAGCUCUGCCCUCUCCCCUUCUCAGCUUUGUGGAAGAGGUACAGUUAAUCCAACUGAACGAUUGCAAGUGAUGCUUAUUAUUCGGCAGAUCUUGAUUUGCAAUGCACUGAGCCAUCUAUCUUUUGCUGCAGCUACAAGAAUAACGUGCUAUGGAAUCUAUCACAGCCCAACAAUUCCACAAUUGAUUUGCUGGCAGCUGAGCCCUGGGGCUUGGAAUGUAAAUAAGACUCAGAAUAAAAGUGACGUGCACUGCAGCAGUUGACAGUGAGUGCAGGUACUUCAUCAAUUGACCUGAUUUCUGGAAAAUGUGCUUGCAACCUUGAAACUUGUUUUGCAAUUACAAUCUUUGCAAUAAAAUAUUAGUCUCCAUG
ensembl:lncRNA